UGAGGAAUAUUGGUCAAUGGGCGUGAGCCUGAACCAGCCAAGUAGCGUGCAGGAAGACGGCCCUAUGGGUUGUAAACUGCUUUUAUGCGGGGAUAAAGGAGUCCACGUAUGGAUUUUUGCAGGUACCGCAUGAAUAAGGACCGGCUAAUUCCGUGCCAGCAGCCGCGGUAAUACGGAAGGUCCGGGCGUUAUCCGGAUUUAUUGGGUUUAAAGGGAGCGUAGGCCGCGUUUUAAGCGUGUUGUGAAAUGUAGACGCCCAACGUCUGCAUCGCAGCGCGAACUGGGACGCUUGAGUACGCGCAACGUUGGCGGAAUUCGUCGUGUAGCGGUGAAAUGCUUAGAUAUGACGAGGAACUCCGAUUGCGAAGGCAGCUGACGGGAGCGGCACUGACGCUUAAGCUCGAAGGUGCGGGUAUCAAACAGG
rnacentral:rRNA from 1 species